ACACCUUCGAGCGAGAGCUCGUCAGCAAUUCUGGGGCUGCGCCAAUUUGUUGUUCCGGAUCCCGUCGUGGAAUGAUUGAUUGUCGCUAUAGCAUUGCCAACACGUCCAGCAGAUUAAAUCAAUUUCGAAUUAUUGUUAUCGCUAAUUAUCGGUAUGGCUAUUUUUGCUUAACCAGAAUUCCGUGAGCUCUUGUCAACUCCUCUUGAACUGGACGCUUGCUGGAUUUCACGAUUCUUUCUAUGCUCUUCACAAUCUGUCACGUUCAUUCCUCAAUUUGCUUGUUGUUCACUACUUUUCUUUGACGAAACUCGAGUUUACGAUCUCGAUUUCUAACGGCGACCUCUGUCGUGGUAACGUCCCUCCGACAUCGAAUAACGAAGCCCUAAUUCAGAAGAAAAAAAAAAACGGAAGCUCUUGCCUGCUGUCACUGUCACAUAUUCUGCAUGUGUUGCCUGGUGGGGUUUGUGCGAGGUUGAAGUUGAAUGCAUGAGAUGAAUGAGGUGAACUGAUUUUGCGCCGACAACAUGAGUAUUUAACGAAGAUCUAAGUGGAAUACUCAGAGUUUGUUGCUGGAUCGCUGUUCGAAAUCUGGCCAACAGCUGAUUGCAAGCCAAAUUUGUGCUUCGGUUGCAACAUCUCUGUGGCUGCAAUAAAAGUUUCAACGGUGCAGCUCUGCAUCUGGGAGAAUGGCAUUCAAGUGGAGGCUCGUGGUGACGAGGACAUGGCUGGAAGUGGUGGUGAUGGACCGUGAAAUGUGGUGAGAAUUUUAUACAAUGGAAUUUAAAAUUACGUGAAGAGCGUUCAUUGUUGUAAAGAGGAAGAAAGAAAUAUCUCCUGAUUCUUGUAACUACUGUUUUGUACGUGCUUCCUCGUACUUGCAAAUUUUAAAUAAUUGAAAUUUGAAUAGAAAAUGAAGAA